rnacentral:lncRNA from 7 species
CAUAGACCUUUUCUUGCUUCUCCUCCUCAACCGUAUCCACCACACGCCGAUGUCUUCUCCGCGGGCGGCCACCGGCGCCGCCGUAGGGCUAGCCGGAACAACGCCCUCGUCACUGGAGAACGUCGCUGCGGCACGGUUUCCCAAUGACCACCGCUCUCUGGUCUUCACCCGUUCCAAUAAUCACGUGCACCAGCUUUGGGGUGAGUCAUUGAUCAUUUUCCUACUCUCAAUUCCACCUCUACUACCUUGUCUAGCUCGGUACAUUAGUCACCGGACCACCGUGCCGUCGUGGUGAGCCGCAUGCUCUCUGUAGAACAUUUCCACUGUUUUUCCUGGCUCCAAUAGAUGCGCAAUCGAUUAGAACACGGUUUAGAGCAGGUUUAGACUAUUCCCGUUCCC